GCUACCAGGCAGAGCUAUAUAUAUUAUAUACUACGUUCUUACAGUAAAGUAAACUAGAGAAAAGUGUUAAGAAAAUCAUAUGGAAGAGCAAAUAAAUACAUUUACAGUAUUUAUUGAAAAAAAUUCAGUAUAAGUGGACCUGUGCAGUUCAAACUCAUGUUGUUAAAGGGUCAACUGUAAUUUAAAACUGUAGUCUUGUUUUACAAAUGAGAAAACCAGGUUGUGGGGACACUACCAAUUCUUGAGCCAAGAUGUUCUGAAUUCAAAUCAUGGGUCCAUCACUUAGUAACUGUGUUUGACUUUGGGAAGUUACUUGACUCUUUUGUGCCUUUAUGACCUCAUCUGCAAAAUGGGCAUACGAGUACACUCAAUUUUGGAUGGUUGUGAAUUUAUAUGUGUCUAGAAUUCAGAACAGUGGCACAAACUAAGUGCUAUUAAGAGUGCUUUUUAAGAAUUUGCUGUUAUUGUUUUUGCUGUCAUCAAUUAUCAAUCAAGUGUUUGCCUGGAAUCAUGGGACCUGUUAGUGACAAACAUGUGAUAAGAUACCAAACUCUCUAAAAAUGCCAUGGCAUUAAAAUAAGGUAAUAGUUAUUGGGAUUCCGGAGUAAAUAAAGAUUUCCUUUCUAUACAGCUGUCCUUAAUAAAGAGAAAAAUAAGAUAAAAAAUCUAGGUCAGCAGAAAUUUCUAUAGAAUAUUUCAUAUUAUGAGUAACAUAUGAAAAGCAACCACAGUAAUUCUAUAGAAGCUAUAUGUAUGGUAAUGUUAUUACAGAAUCAUUUCAAAAAUUUUCAUUACCCAGAGUUAUUAAUGCUUUCAUAGUGAUCUUUGGUUAGGUCUCUCUAAAUUAGACUUACAAUAAAGUGGGGGUUUUUAUUUUUCAAA